AUGAUUAUUAAUUUAAAAAAAAUAUUAAUUUUGUAAAUUAAACUUAUGAAUGUUCAUAUAAUCAA
rnacentral:tRNA from 1 species